UACGUAGGGGGCAAGCGUUGUCCGGAAUCAUUGGGCGUAAAGAGCGCGUAGGCGGCCCUGUAAGUCCGCUGUGAAAGUCAAGGGCUCAACCCUUGGAUGCCGGUGGAUACUGCAGGGCUAGAGUCCGGAAGAGGCGAGUGGAAUUCCUGGUGUAGCGGUGAAAUGCGCAGAUAUCGGGAAGAACACCCGUGGCGAAGGCGGUUCUCUGGGCCGAUACUGACGCUGAGGAGCGAAAGCGUGGGGAGCGAACAGG
rnacentral:rRNA from 1 species